UACAGAGGUCUCAAGCGUUGUUCGGAUUCAUUGUGCGUAAAGGGUGCGUAGGCGGCGCGGUAAGUCGGGUGUGAAAUCUCGGAGCUUAACUCCGAAACUGCAUUCGAUACUGCCGUGCUUGAGGACUGGAGAGGAGACUGGAAUUUACGGUGUAGCGGUGAAAUGCGUAGAUAUCGUAAGGAAGACCAGUGGCGAAGGCGGGUCUCUGGACAGUUCCUGACGCUGAGGCACGAAGGUCAGGGGAGCAAACGGG
rnacentral:rRNA from 1 species